GACGAACCGAGCGAACGUUAUUCGGAAUCACUGGGCUUAAAGGGCGCGUAGGUGGCCCGGUCAGUUCGUGGUGAAAGCGCAGGGCUCAACCCUGCGUCGGCCAUGAAUACUGCCGCGGCUGGAGCACUGUAGAGGCAGGCGGAAUUCCGGGUGUAGCGGUGGAAUGCGUAGAGAUCCGGAAGAACACCGGUGGCGAAGGCGGCCUGCUGGGCAGUUGCUGACACUGAGGCGCGACAGCGUGGGGAGCAAACAGGG
rnacentral:rRNA from 1 species